rnacentral:rRNA from 1 species
UACGAGGGGGGCAAAUGUUGUUCGGAAUCACUGGGCGUAAAGGGCGCGUAGGCGGGUGUUUAAGUUAGGUGUUUAAUCCCAGGGCCCAACCCUGGUCGUGCACUUAAAACUGGACAUCUUGAAUAGGGGAGAGGUCAGUGGAAUUGGGGGUGUAGCGGUGGAAUGCGUAGAGAUCCCCAAGAACACCAGUUGCGAAGGCGGCUGACUGGACCCAUAUUGACGCUGAGGCUCGAAAGCAUGGGGAGCAAACAGG